rnacentral:rRNA from 1 species
AGUGGCGGACGGGUGAGUAACGCGUGGGUAACCUGCCCUGUACAGGGGGAUAACAGUUAGAAAUGACUGCUAACACCGCAUAAGCGCACGGUAAGGCAUCUUAGUGCGUGAAAAUAUUAAUAGGUACAGGAUGGGCCCGCGUCUGAUUAGCCAGUUGGCAGGGUAACGGCCUACCAAAGCGACGAUCAGUAGCCGGCUUGAGAGAGUGAACGGCCACAUCGGGACUGAGACACGGCCCAAACUCCUACGGAAGGCAGCAG